rnacentral:misc_RNA from 1 species
GGAAGUAAAAGUCGUAACAAGAUUUCCGUAGGUGAACCUGCGGAAGGAUCAUUAAAGAGUAAGGGUCUUCUAGGCCCGACCUCCCAACCCUUUGUUUACCAAACCAUUGUUGCUUCGGCGGGCCCGUCCCAGGACCGCCGGAGGACCGUCAAACGUCCUCUGGCCCGCGCCCGUCGAUGGCCCCUAUCAUUAAACUCUGAACCAAACGUGUCCUGUCUGAGUGAUUAUUAUCAAAAAUUAAAGCAAAACUUUCAACAACGGAUCUCCUGGUUCUG